UACAGAGGUCUCAAGCGUUGUUCGGAUUCAUUGGGCGUAAAGGGUGUGUAGGUGGCGCCGUAAGUCGGGUGUGAAAUUUCGGAGCUUAACUCCGAAACUGCAUUCGAUACUGCGGUGCUUGAGGACUGGAGAGGAGACUGGAAUUUACGGUGUAGCAGUGAAAUGCGUAGAUAUCGUAAGGAAGACCAGUGGCGAAGGCGGGUCUCUGGACAGUUCCUGACACUGAGACACGAAGGCCAGGGAAGCAAACGGG
rnacentral:rRNA from 1 species